GUGCUCACUUCAGCAGCACAUACACUAAAAUUUCAACAAUAUGGAAAAGAUUAGCAUGACCCCUGCACAAGGAUGACAUACAAAUUCUAAAAAGCAAAAAGGACUCAU